rnacentral:rRNA from 1 species
CGCGGCCUAUCAGCUUGUUGGUGGGGUGAUGGCCUACCAAGGCGACGACGGGUAGCCGGCCUGAGAGGGCGACCGGCCACACUGGGACUGAGACACGGCCCAGACUCCUACGGGAGGCAGCAGUGGGGAAUAUUGCACAAUGGGCGAAAGCCUGAUGCAGCGACGCCGCGUGAGGGAUGACGGCCUUCGGGUUGUAAACCUCUUUCAGCAGGGAAGAAGCGAAAGUGACGGUACCUGCAGAAGAAGCGCCGGCUAACUACGUGCCAGCAGCCGCGGUAAUACGUAGGGCGCAAGCGUUGUCCGGAAUUAUUGGGCGUAAAGAGCUCGUAGGCGGCUUGUCACGUCGGAUGUGAAAGCCCGGGGCUUAACCUCGGGUCUGCAUUCGAUACGGGCUAGCUAGAGUGUGGUAGGGGAGAUCGGAAUUCCCGGUGUAGCGGUGAAAUGCGCAGAUAUCAGGAGGAACACCGGUGGCGAAGGCGGAUCUCUGGGCCAUUACUGACGCUGAGGAGCGAAAGCGUGGGGAGCGAACAGGAUUAGAUACCCUGGUAGUCCACGCCGUAAACGUUGGGAACUAGGUGUUGGCGACAUUCCACGUCGUCGGUGCCGCAGCUAACGCAUUAAGUUCCCCGCCUGGGGAGUACGG